AUGGUUUCGCGAUCAAUGUUGGUGAGUGUCAGAAAUAUUGGAUUCGAUCUGGCCGGCGACAUAACAUCACGACCCUCUUUCUUCUCUACCUUGAUUGCUUUAUUGUUUUUGUUUCUGAUCUGUUGUUGGGUGCUGUUAGAAACACACUAUGCAAUAUUAACACCAUUUCAUAAUCAGUUUGUAUAA